AGGGCUUUAGUAAAAAAUUAUACGUCCUUGUCAUGGACGAGUCAAAGGCUAGACCCUUUAAGCCCCGC
rnacentral:tRNA from 1 species